UCCCAUUCUUCUUCACUCCUUCAGCUCCCUGGAAGACACAAUUUUCAUUAUGAACAUCAUCUUCAUCGUCAUCCUCUGAAUCACUGUCAGAAGAGGAGGACGAGGAGUCGGAAACGAAAACAGAAGAGAGUAAUUUCCCGGCGCCGGUAGCAAUGGUAAGAGUAGGCGAGAAAAUGAACUUGGAGAUCCAACUAGGGCUUCCUCCAGGGCCCAAAUUCGAAGGUCCAGG
rnacentral:misc_RNA from 1 species